GCACUGCUGACGAGUCCUAAACAGGACGAGACAGCUGUUCAGUGC
rnacentral:hammerhead_ribozyme from 1 species